GAUGAAGAACGUAGCGAAACGCGAUAUGUAAUGUGAAUUGCAGAAUUCAGUGAAUCAUCGAAUCUUUGAACGCAAAUGGCGCCUUCCAGUAUCCUGGGAGGCAUGCCUGUCCGAGCGUCGUUUCAACCCUCGAGCCCUCGUGGCCCGGCGUUGGGGAUCUGCCACGGCAGGCCCCGAAAUACAGUGGCGGACCCGUUAGGCCCUUCCUUUGCGUAGUAGCAUCAGCCUCGCAUCGGGAGCCGGCGGGCUCUCCUGCCUCUAAACCCCCCAACAAGCCCGCUCCGGCGGCACCAAGGUUGACCUCGGAUCAGGUAGGAAUACCCGCUGAACUUAAGCAUAUCAAUAAGCGGAGGA
rnacentral:misc_RNA from 1 species